GACGAACGCUGGCGGCGUGCCUAAUACAUGCAAGUAGAACGCUGAAGGAGGAACUUGCUUCUCUGGAUGAGUUGCGAACGGGUGAGUAACGCGUAGGUAACCUGCCUGGUAGCGGGGGAUAACUAUUGGAAACGAUAGCUAAUACCGCAUAAGAGUAGAUGUUGCAUGACAUUUGCUUAAAAGGUGCAAUUGCAUCACUACCAGAUGGACCUGCGUUGUAUUAGCUAGUUGGUGGGGUAACGGCUCACCAAGGCGACGAUACAUAGCCGACCUGAGAGGGUGAUCGGCCACACUGGGACUGAGACACGGCCCAGACUCCUACGGGAGGCAGCAGUAGGGAAUCUUCGGCAAUGGACGGAAGUCUGACCGAGCAACGCCGCGGGAGUGAAGAAGGUUUUCGGAUCGUAAAGCUCUGUUGUAAGAGAAGAACGAGUGUGAGAGUGGAAAGUUCACACUGUGACGGUAUCUUACCAGAAAGGGACGGCUAACUACGUG
rnacentral:rRNA from 1 species